AUGCAAUAUACCCAUGUAACGAACAUGCAAUUGUACCCUCUGAGUCUAAAAUAAAAGUUGAAAUUUUUUAAUGUAUUAAUAUUUUUUGCUUUCAUGUUACUUAUUGUCUUGUGGCAAAAAAUAGUUUAGAACUAUAUUAAUAAAUAGAACUUGAGAUGAUUUGAUAGUCAUCACCAUACACAAUGCUAGCAAAACAGGAAGCACUGAAAAACAAAAAAAAAAAUUGGGAGUAAAAAGAAAUAAAAAAAAUAUGGUUUUGGCCAGGCA
rnacentral:lncRNA from 1 species